UUUCUGGUGUAUAUGGAUAGAUAGGCCUAUAAACUUUAAAGAAUUCAAGAUGCUAUGCAAAACAUGAUGCAGAAAACUGUCACUUUCAACUGUUCUGGGAAUAACUCUUAUUUGGUGUGAAUUGGUUUUCGUUUGUCAAGGAGUCAAUUCAUUUGCAGAGAAUGGAGAAGUGCAUGGUGACAACUACAAGCUACUUCCAGUUGAUUUGUUUGACAUACAAAAAUUGGAUGAUAUCAUAACCUUGGCAAAAAUGGAUCCUGGGUUAUGAAUCGAUUCUUAUUCUUUGGCAUUUGUUAUCAUUUUACUCUUAUUCUUUUCUUCCAUUUCAUUUCUCACCUUUCAUUGUUGUAGUUAUUUCCUGAAUUUUGUGUUGUUUUCCUUGUUUGUGCGUUCAAUUUGCAUUUUAUUUUAGCUUUAUUCUUUUCCCCAUGAAAUUUCUUUCUUUGUUGACUUUCUUGAGUGGAAUCUUUUUAAUCUUUCCCUGGUUGGGGACAUUAUGGGUCAUCUGAUAUUGGUAUCAGUCUGCCAAUAUUUAUAAUUGCAAAAUGUGUCUUAAUAUACCUGGAUCCAGAGUCAAGCUGUUCUAUCGUCGGUCGGGCAUCUAGAACUUUUUCAACAGCGAUAUUUUUCUUGUAUGAGCAGAUUCACCCGGAUGAUGUGUUUGGGCAGCAAAUGAUAAGAAUUUAGAGCCUUUCCUUUAAGGUUUUUGGGAAGAUAUAAAAGGAGAUUCAUUGCAAUUCUUGGUUCACAGCUUUAGCUCCGUUCUACUUUUCGCUGGGAAGCUGGUCAUUUCUGCGUUUUUGAUAUAUUCUUUAAGGGGACUCUUAAAUGUGACUUAUCUGGUGAUCAUGUAAAGUCCUUGGUUCUUGCAACCUGGCUGGCAGCUCAAAUGGCUAAGUGGCAGUUGCAUAAUCUAUGCUUCGCUCCUGCUGAUUAAAAAAUUGUAUGGAGUUCAUUAUAGUUGUCAUUGGUUUUGUUUCAAAUCUUCAGGAGCACUUGUGUCGCUUAUGCAAUCAAUGUUGUCAUGGUAUGUCUGUCUAUUUUUCUU